rnacentral:rRNA from 1 species
AUUGAACGCUGGCGGCAGGCCUAACACAUGCAAGUCGAACGGUAACAGGAAGAAGCUUGCUUCUUUGCUGACGCGUGGCGGACGUGUGAGUAAUGUCUGGGAAACUGCCUGAUGGAGGGGGAUAACUACUGGAACCGGUAGCUAAUACCGCAUAACGUCGCGAGAGCAAAGAGGGGGACUUUCGGGCCUCUUGCCAUCGGAUGUGCCCAGAUGGGAUUAGCUAGUAGGUGGGGUAACGGCUCACCUAGGCGACGAUCCCUAGCUGGUCUGAGAGGAUGACCAGCCACACUGGAACUGAGACACGGUCCAGACUCCUACGGGAGGCAGCAGUGGGGAAUAUUGCACAAUGGGCGCAAGCCUGAUGCAGCCAUGCCGCGUGUAUGAAGAAGGCCUUCGGGUUGUAAAGUACUUUCAGCGGGGAGGAAGGGAGUAAAGUUAAUACCUGUGCUCAUUGACGUUACCCGCAGAAGAAGCACCGGCUAACUCCGUG